AUGAACGCUGACAGAAUGCUUAACACAUGCAAGUCAACUUGAAUUUGGGUUUUUAACUUAGGUUUGGGUGGCGGACGGGUGAGUAACGCGUAAAGAACUUGCCUCACAGCUAGGGACAACAUUUGGAAACGAAUGCUAAUACCUAAUAUUAUGAUAAUAGGGCAUCCUAUAAUUAUGAAAGCUAUAAGCGCUGUGAGAGAGCUUUGCGUCCCAUUAGCUAGUUGGAGAGGUAACGGCUCACCAAGGCGAUGAUGGGUAGCCGGCCUGAGAGGGUGAUCGGCCACAAGGGGACUGAGACACAGCCCUUACUCCUACGGGAGGCAGCAGUGGGGAAUAUUGGACAAUGGACCAAGAGUCUGAUCCAGCAAUUCUGUGUGCACGAUGAAGUUUUUCGGAAUGUAAAGUGCUUUCAGUUGGGAAGAAAGAAAUGACGGUACCAACAGAAGAAGUGACGGCUAAAUACGUG
rnacentral:rRNA from 1 species